UUUUACACUAUAAAUAAUUUUAUCCCAAAACAAAAACUUAAAUUUAUAUAAAGUAAGGGUAUUCUUUAUUAAAAGUUCAACUUGAAUGUUAUCCGUAUUUUAUUGAACUCGGAAUAUAUAUAUAUAUAUAUUUUAACGGGGCAAGAAAAUUGCCCCGCCCCGUCAAAGGCGGGGCGGGGUAAGGCGUGGGAGAGGCGGGGCCCCCGCCCCGUUACCAUCACUAGUUUACUUUCAAGCAGGCACCAUCAGCAUGGACGGUGGCAAGCUCAAAUUGGAAGGGUUGCCGGCAACAGACUUGUACCUUGGUACGUUUAGUAAGUUUGCUAAUCUCCUCGAACAUAACUUUGUGAUCAUCUUCAGUGGUACCUCUGUAUGUCUAACUUUAGGUUGUGAUUUUGGGAGUUACUAUUGAACCAUAUAAAGAAUCAAUGUUGAUGUUUCUGAACUUUUGAAUGAUGGUGAAAUCAGCGCUGGUCCUAUCCUAUAUUUCUUUCUUUGGUUUUGAUUAAAAGUUAUAAUUAACUUUUGCAACUAUGUAAAACCCUACAGAAACUUACUUUUUAGUAUCGUGAUCUUUAUAUUUAGAAUAAUGCUAGAUGUACACUUUGUCUAGCAUGACAUUCCCCCCAUGUGAGGGAAUCUGUGCAUUGAUUGGUGUCGCGAAAAUCCCUCGAUAAAUCUUUAUUUUGGGCUCAAAAAAAAUCAAACGAACACCAAUUUACCUCGACUUGACCCGAGACUUUCGUCUUCACGUUUGGAAUGCCCUCUUUCUCGCUAACCCCACAAAAGAGAAGGGUGGUGGUGUUAGCAAUUCACAAAAAUAUGAGAGGAAGAAGAAGAUAUCACAACGGUUGAAUCUCACUCACAACCUCAUAUGGCUUCCCUCUCUCUCGGCUUCCUCAGUUCUCUCAACUUUCAUCUCCAUUACUACAACACACACACACACUCACACGACUAGGAGAUAGAUACAUAUAUAUAGGUUAGUUUAAGUCACCAAAUAUGGGCCAAGAGAUCUCUAAGUGGGCUGUCAUAUAACCUAAACUCACAGGCCAAUUUCCAACUCCAUAUUAAUCAUUAAAUGGUCCAACUAACCAAAUAAUCAUCCAACCCAACCUCGAGCCAUCCAAAAGUGUAGUUCGUCUUCGAGUCAAGCCAAGUCCACGGUGUCGAUAAAUAAUCUGAUAACUGUUUUAAAUCAUCACCCGAAUUAUUGGGUAUCAAAAAAUCCAACAAUUAGAAAAAUGGGGGGAAAUCAAUGGUGUAGAUCAUACCACGUGGAAGAAUGUAAUUCAUAAUGUAACUAACAGUGUAUCUGUAGCAACUUUGUUAUAUUAAACCUAGGUACACAAGAAGAAGCUGCAGAAGCCUAUGAUAUUGCUGCAAUUAAGUUUAGAGGGACGAGUGCCGUGACCAAUUUUGACAUAAGUAGGUACGACGUAAAGAGGUUAAGAGGAUUUGCUCAAGCUCAACCCUUGUCGCAGGAGACCUCAUUAAGCGUUCCCCUAAGGACUCCGAUCCAUCUUUCCUCGAGGGUUUCAAUUCUUGUGCAUCGUCAGCUUCCCUUCCUCAACCUCUUCUCCCAAUAACUAACGGAGAACCUUCUGAUGAAUUGACAGACAUGAUAUGGAAUGUUCGCAAUGAUGAGCAGAACUAGGUUGCAAAAGCGAAUAGUAAUGAACAUUUGGCAGGAUCGACCAACAGGAACACCUCUAACCCGUGAAGUCAUACAUCUGGAAUGGAUGUGGAAUUUGGAUGUGCAAAUUAUUUUCAAGCAUAUUUCUAGGUUCAAGGGGAGAAGUACAGAGAAGGGAAUAAUGAGAGCGAAAUAACAAAAUUCUGGAUGGGAACAUCAGCCCCCUCCCCGCCCCCAAACCCCAUUAUUUGCACUGUGGAACAACUGAAGGAUAUUGGUGCGGAAUUACAGAAGUCAGAACCUGGAUGAUGUUUUAGUUAUUUUGCUAUUAAAGUUGCCAAAAUGUUGUCAUAAUCAAUUUUAACUGUGUUUUGAUGAUCUGAAAGAAAGCUACAAGACGAAAAGAAACCAAGCUUAGUGAAGAAUUUUUCUUCAUUUUGAUUAUUUUCAUUUUAUUAGGAAGCAGCUUUCAAAUGAGUUAGAGGAUUGACUUCUUUUCAUGUUAGAUUCUGAUUCUACGUACGUAGUUUUCUUUCUCCGUGUAGCGUGGUAGAAUCAAACUAGUCUGAUUCUGACUGUGACUUCGGACCUGCCUAAAUUUGCGUGCCGACUAGCUAGAGAAAGACGUAAAUGGGUGGAUCUCUCGGGAAGGAGAAGCAACAAUUUUGGAUGAAUUUUUAUUUUGGAGAGAGAUUCGAUCUCUGAUGUGUUAGAUUUCCCCAUAAAAGCAAAAAGGUUGCUUUGUA
rnacentral:lncRNA from 1 species